rnacentral:lncRNA from 1 species
GCAUAUCCUAAUCUCAGAGAUUCUUGAGAUCUCUCAGUGUACCAGUUUUCAACACAUGUUUACAAAGUACUUCAGAGUCUGCUUCUGCUCGAGUACCCCAGCUGGAGUACUGCUGUGCAAUUAGUCAGCUAGAGGACAACCCAGGCAAAGCAUAAGAAUGAUCCUGACAGUGUUCAUGGAAAAAUGUUCUUCCACAUUAUUCUCUGGUGAAAUGGAGUAGACAUUUACUUCAUUAUCUGCCCUGGGAACAAAAACCACAGAAUAGCUUUAAUCAGCAAUUGGCUGAAGAAAACUCCAUGGGACUUAGCGGUAGCAAGGCUCAUUAAAUUACAUGAGGAGCAUUCUGCACAUUCAACUGAUGGUGAAAGCAUAAGGACCAAGAAGAUCUUAGAGCGAAUUUGAGGAACAGAGAAGGCAAAGAACAGUUUGGAAUGACCUGAGAG